rnacentral:rRNA from 1 species
GUGGGGAAUCUUGCGCAAUGGGCGAAAGCCUGACGCAGCCAUGCCGCGUGAAUGAUGAAGGUCUUAGGAUUGUAAAAUUCUUUCACCGGGGACGAUAAUGACGGUACCCGGAGAAGAAGCUCCGGCUAACUUCGUGCCAGCAGCCGCGGUAAUACGAAGGGGGCUAGCGUUGCUCGGAAUUACUGGGCGUAAAGGGCGCGUAGGCGGACAGCUUAGUCAGAGGUGAAAGCCCAGGGCUCAACCUUGGAAUUGCCUUUGAUACUGGCUGUCUUGAGUUUGGGAGAGGUGAGUAGAACUCCGAGUGUAGAGGUGAAAUUCGUAGAUAGUCGGAAGAACACCAGUGGCGAAGGCGACUCACUGGCCCAAUACUGACGCUGAGGCGCGAAAGCGUGGGGAGCAAACAGGAUUAGAAACCCGUGUAGUCC